rnacentral:misc_RNA from 1 species
AAUGUUGGAGAACACUUAAAAGGUAAAAUGCAUAAUUUAAAACCUGGCCCUGAAUAUUAUAUGCUUCUAAAAAGUGCUAAGAGUUACAAAUUACAAGAUCCUUCUGAGUCACCAAGUAAAAUUAAAGAAAAAUACAAAUCAUUUUCUCCUGCAACUAUAUCAACUGUUACAAAAGAUCAGCUACAAGUGGACUUUAAUAUUCAAACUCAAAUAGCUACUGAUCCAUUUGAAAGAGAAGAAUUAAUAAAGUCUGACUCAAAAGAAGAAGAAUUAAGAAAGUCUGAUCAAGUUUUAAGCAGCCAUUUAUCUACUGAAUCUACUGAACCAUCAGUUGUUGAUUUUGUUACUUUUAAUAAUAAAAAUGAAAUUGGUGAUAUUCAAAGUGAUGCUUUUGAUGAAGAUGAUAAUAAUGAUGAUGAUGGUGAUUAUAUACCCUCUGAGCAAGAGAGUGAUGAAGAAACAUUAAAAAAACUUUCUCCAUCUAUUGAAGAUUUGUUAAACGAUUUUUAUCAUUAUCUUACAGGACCUGAUAGAGCUAGAAAAAGUAGAUCUAUUGAAAGGGUUAAAAAUGACGUUAAAAGGAUUUUUUUGGCUGUUGGUUUAACAAAUUCAAUAAAAUUAUUGUUUGAAAAUGACACAGAUGUGAUAAGAAAAAACUAUCUUCAAGUAUAUUGUGUAAACAGAAAGUUAGAAGCUGGUUCAAUUAAAACAUACUUAAACUCUUUAAAAGAUUUUUGUUCAUAUCUUAUAAAAUCAAAGUAUCGUGAAUUUGACCUGUCUUUUGAAACUAUAUUUCAAACUAUUUUAAAUAUUGAAAAUUGGAGAAAAAAUUACCGUGCUAAAGACAGUAUAAGAAAACAUAAAAGAGCUGAAGAUGACCUUUUAAUGCUUGUUACCCCUGAACAGGUAAAGAAAUAUGAGCAGAGCAAAAAUGCAUCAACUGCAAAAAAAUUACUUGAGGAUUUGAAAAACAAUCCGAAUAAAGAAUUGACUAUGUUUGAUUAUUGUUGUUAUAGGGACCAUGUCUUUUUUAUUAUACACUUUGCCAGUGCCCAUAGAUCAGGUGUAACAGCAAAUAUGACUAUGGAAGAAUUUUUUAAAAUGAAAGUUUUUAAAGAUGGUAUGAAAAUGAUAAAUGUAUGGGAUCAUAAAACUGUUUCAACUUAUGGUCCAGCAAGAGUGACUUUAAAUUCUAUUGAAUUUGAAUGGAUUGAAGUUUUUGUGAAUCAUGUUAGAACAAAAUUACCUGCUAUUCAUUCAGAUAAAGUAUUUUUAUCAUGGUCUGGGAAAGAAAUGUCUUCUGGGGAUAUAAGUGGAAGAUUACAUUCGCUUUGGGUGAAAGCUGGUAAUUUUGAUGGGCGCUUUGUACCCAAAAAGCUCUCUGCUAACAUUGUCAGAAAAACAACUUCCACAUUAGUUCGUAAUAGCGAGUUUUAUAAAGAUAGAGGUGUUGUGGCUGACUCAAUGAUGCACAGUGAACUAACUGCUGCCACUCAUUAUCAUACCAGAAGUCAAGAGCUUAAUGCAAUUACUGGUGGCAAUAUUGUGCGCAAAAAUUUUUGUCGUUCCCCACUAACUAAAACAGACGAAGUUGAUAAAAGUAGUUUAACUGAGGAAAAAAAUGAUCAGCUUCUUACGUCAGAGAACCUCUUAAGUAAAAAUGAUUUUAGUUUUUCUUUGAUGAACACUCCUAAAAAAAUCUGGAGUAAGGAAGAAACAAGUUCUUUAAAUUUAUUAUUUCCUGAUAAUAAAUCUCAAAAUAUAUCGUAUAACCAAGUAAAAUCAAUGCUUGCCAAAUCUCCUUCAAUUAACAGUUCACCUAGACAAGUUUAUGACAAGCUGAAAAGAAUGAAAAGAAAGUAUCUGGAAGAUAUGCCAGAAGAAUCAAAGGUCAAGAAAAAUUUGCAGUUUGAACGCAAAACUUGGUCUUCUGAACAGAUAAAUGAGUUAAAAGUUAAUGGAAAAGAAUUAAUUUUGGGAGGACCUUUAUCACGAAGCCGAAUUUUAAGUGUUCUAAAAAACUCUAAACUAUUAAAAGAUUUCACCAUCACACAGUUGAGAACACGAAUUAAUCAUGAACGAAAUUAAACUUAGCUGUUUCUUGACUAUAACUUAUAAAUAAACAGUUAUUAUUUUUUUAUUUUUAAGUAUUUAAAUAAACAUUCCAGCUUUGUUAUUUCUUAUAUUAGGUUCCUUUUUUCAAUAUUAAGCUUAACUUUUAUGAUUACUAACGUGUGGCUUGGGAAUGUUUCCAUAAGGCCAUUUCCUUAUUUAAAUACACCACUAUGGAGAAAUAGUUGAAUCAGUUUUUACAACCAGAUGUCUUUCAUGGCAUUAACCUGUUAUGAUGAUCAGGACUAAGUAUUUUUAAUGUGAUACACUAGGUAUAUUAUCAUACAAGGUUUGCAAGUUCCUCCAACUUUUCCCCACAAAUAAAUCAAGGGGUUUUAUAUCAUAGCUUUCUUUGUCCUAGAAAAGUUGUCUUUGCCACAGUUAAAGAGCUUUACCUGCCAUAAUCAAGUAUCAGUUUAACUUCAUUACCAGAACAAGGAUUGAUUCAUAUAUAUUAAAUGUUAUCUUGCUUACAUUCAAUCACUAACAAUAUGAUAAAAUUUGAAAAAGUAGUUUUUACAAAAAUGGGCAGAAUUUUUAAAUCAUCAUAAAUAGAGACAAUUUAAACUUAGAUUAAGGUUUAUUACUCUGUUAAUUUGAAACUAAUGACAAAUUCUCUUAAAUUAUUUCAAUCGAAAAAGAUAAUUUUCUAAAAAAAAGGAACACAUGAUAAAAGUGAAUAAGAAUGAUUAUUAUGAAUAUGAAUAAGGACUUUUUAUGAUGUCACUAACAAAAAUUAAACCUAAAAUAUAAUAGCACUGUUAUUUUUACCUUUUUUAUUAUGACUGAUAAUAAUUAUUAAUUUAAUACUGAUUAAGAUUUUAUAAAAACAAAUUAAAAAUCUAAGGAGAGCUCUUAAAUUCAGUGUUAUCCCUUGGACAUCUUUUUAACACACAUUUAAGAUUAAUUUUUAAAUUAAUCUUAAAUGUGUUAAUCUUAAAUCUUUUAAAUUAAAUUUUAAAUAACUACAAGCAAUCUCUCACAGUAAAUGACAAUACAGUUACAGUUGCAGACAACGUCUUACAGUCUUACAGUUAAUGACAACCAAUAGAGUAAAGUUUUUACUGUCAAUUGAAAACAACGUUUAAAAUGCCAACUCAAUCUAGUUAGUGUGUAAAAUAGUUGUAUUUAUUCAUAUUAUAUAAUAUAAACUAUUGGUGCCACCAGUUAGUGCUAGUGAAUAUUUUAAUAUUGUUGUAUUUCUAUUACAACAAAAUAAUAAACUUAAAUGAUGUACUCUUUUUUUUUGCAGUUGAAACCAAUGAAAGUUUCUUUCAGAAAUUAAUGGCAGUGAAGUGGUACCUACAGUUGCAGCUCAAAAUAAUUCUACUUAUAGAGCAAUACGUGGUAUAGAUACAAAGACGUGGUAUUAAAAAAUGCUACAGUUAAAAAAAAUCGUUUUACGAUUUUUUUGAGGUAAUUGUGAGCCUAAGGCUGAUGAUAAAUAGUACAUCUGGCUCCGUAUAUAUGUAUACACACAAACACACACAAGCUAUUUACAAAUCGAUAUUUCUAUAUUUAGGGUAAACUUUAGGCAAAGAAUGCGAGGAACUGUUAAACUGUUAUGAACAUAUUAUGCACUAUACCAUAUCAUGCACUACACGUGGCGCUCAGUUUACUCGACGAUCCAACUUAACAGGAUAUUAUCCAUUUUUCUAAUAUAUAUACAUAGAUGCAAAGUAUUCAAAAUGAUUAUAUUGUUAUUUAUAUAUUUAGGAUACAUUUAAACUAAAGACUAUGAAGAGCUGUAAAACUGCUAUUGGCAACAGUUGAUAAUACUAGACGCAUGUGUUAGUAAGUAAUUUGAAUCUCUGGUUGGAAUUCUUUUAAAUGCUUUUAUGCUUUUUACCCAUUGUUGCUGUGGAAAAGCUCAAUACCAAAGAUUUAAUAAAGGCAGAGUUAGGCAGGGUCGAAGGAUAUUUUUCGAACUAAUAAUCCAUUGUAGUGAAAAACGAACUAGUUCAAUCUUUUAAAAAAAAAAAGUUUUUUAGAUCAUAAUCGUCUUUGAAGUAAAAAAGUAAACAUGCCCAGUGGGCACAAGAAGCGUUUUAAACGUCUAAAUCACGUAUUAAAACGUUUUAAUACAUAUUCUAGACGUUUAAAACACGUCUCGUGCCCAUUGGGUGAUUUGAAGUAAAUUUCCAUUUGUUUUAUUUUUUUCAAGAAAAAAAAUUUGAAACUAAA